rnacentral:rRNA from 1 species
ACGGCGAGUGAAGCGGUAACAGCUCAAAUUUGAAAUCUGGCUCUCACCGGAGUCCGAGUUGUAAUUUGUAGAAGAUGCUUUGGGUGCUAGGCCUGGCCUAAGUUCCUUGGAACAGGACGUCAUAGAGGGUGAGAAUCCCGUAUGCGGCCGGUGCCUGUGCCCGUGUAAAGCUCUUUCGACGAGUCGAGUUGUUUGGGAAUGCAGCUCAAAAUGGGUGGUAAAUUUCAUCUAAAGCUAAAUAUUGGCCAGAGACCGAUAGCGCACAAGUAGAGUGAUCGAAAGAUGAAAAGCACUUUGGAAAGAGAGUUAAACAGUACGUGAAAUUGUUGAAAGGGAAGCGCUUGCAACCAGACUUGGGCGUUGGUGAUCAUCCGGAGUUUUCUCUGGUGCACUCGGCAAUGCACAGGCCAGCAUCGGUUCGGGUGGUUGGAUAAAGGCCUAGGGAACGUAGCUCCUCUCGGGGAGUGUUAUAGCCCUGGGCGCAAUGCAGCCUACCUGGACCGAGGACCGCGCUUCGGCUAGGAUGCUGGCGUAAUGGUUGUAAGCGACCCGUCUUGAAACACGGACCAAGGAGUCUAACAUCUAUGCGAGUGUUUGGGCGUUAAAACCCAUGCGCGGAAUGAAAGUGAACGUAGGUGAGAACCCUUUAGGGUGCAUCAUCGACCGAUCCUGAUGUCUUCGGAUGGAUUUGAGUAAGAGCAUAGCUGUUGGGACCCGAAAGAUGGUGAACUAUGCCUGAAUAGGGUGAAGCCAGAGGAAACUCUGGUGGAGGCUCGCAGCGGUUCUGACGUGCAAAUCGAUCGUCAAAUUUGGGUAUAGGGGCGAAAGACUAAUCGAACCAUCUAGUAGCUGGUUCCUGCCGAAGUUC